ACAGUUUAGUGAUCCCUACUAAGAAUGCUAAAAUUCGUCUGCUAUAGUUCAGAAUUUUUUGUUUUUGUAUUUCUAGCAUACUGUGGUGGUGGUAAUAUCAGAAAUUCGUGCAAUCGCACACGGUCCAGUUGUUUUUCUUUACUACACCUCGCAGAAAUGUUGCAGAACAUCAUGUAAUGUUGUAGAAAAUAAUAUAACAGUCCGUCUACAUCAAAUAUACUCGGAGCAGACGUAUAACUAUAUUUUGACUACUGAAAUUAGAUUGAGAGGAGGAGAACUUUUUGACUUCAUCGCAGACCGUGAGAGACUAUCGGAGGAGGAGGCCAGCCAUUUCAUCAAACAGAUUCUACUAGGAGUUCAGCAUCUUCACACUCAUAAUGUUGCGCAUCUGGAUCAUAGGUU